AUGCUUCGGCAGCACAUAUGCUAAAAUCGGAAUGAUACAGAGAAGAUUAACAUGGCCCCUACACAAGGAUGAUACACAAAUUCGUGAAGCAUUCCAUAUUUUU